UACGGGGGGUGCAAACGUUGCUCGGAAUUAUUGGGCGUAAAGCGCACGUAGGCGGUCCUGUAAGUCGGGUGUGAAAGCCCCAGGCUUAACCUGGAAAGUGCACUCGAAACUGUAGGGCUUGAGUAUGGAAGAGGGUCUCGGAAUUCCCGGUGUAGAGGUGAAAUUCGUAGAUAUCGGGAGGAACACCAGUGGCGAAGGCGGAGACCUGGGCCAAUACUGACGCUGAGGUGCGAAAGCGUGGGGAGCAAACAGG
rnacentral:rRNA from 1 species